CCUGGUUGAUCCUGCCAGUAGUCAUAUGCUUGUCUCAAAGAUUAAGCCAUGCAUGUCUAAGUACAUACUGUUUAUAAAGUGAAACCGCGAAUGGCUCAUUAAAUCAGUUACGGUUCCUCGGAUAUUCUUUUUUACAUGGAUAACUGUGGUAAUUCUAGAGCUAAUACAUGAACAAGUGUUCCAACCUCAGCUUGCUGACGGAAGGAUCGCAUUUAUUAGUACAAGACCAAUGAUUCUUAUUCACCUAGAACCCUGUUCAGUGAUUUCGGUCGCUGUCUAAGGACUAGCAGUGGGGAUCUUAGCAACUUCGGUUGCAUUUCUUGUGAUGACUCUGAAUAACUGAGCAAAUCGUAUGGCCUCUGAGCCGACGAUGUAUCCCUCAAGCAACUGCCUUAUCAACUGUCGAUGGUAGGUUAUGCGCCUACCAUGGUUGUAACGGGUAACGGGGAAUUAGGGUUCGAUUCCGGAGAGGGAGCCUGAGAAACGGCUACCACAUCUAAGGAAGGCAGCAGGCGCGCAAAUUACACAAUCCCAGUACGGGGAUGUAGUGACGAAAAAUAACAAUACGGGACUCUAUUGAGGCCCCGUAAUUGGAAUGAGUACAAUUUAAAUCCUUUAACGAGGAUCUAUUGGAGGGCAAGUCUGGUGCCAGCAGCCGCGGUAAUUCCAGCUCCAAUAGCGUAUAUUUAAGUUGACGGAGAAUUAGGGUUCGAUUCCGGAGAGGGAGCCUGAGAAACGGCUACCACAUCCAAGGAAGGCAGCAGUUCCCCCUCCUCUAACCAAUUCUUGCAAGGAUUUUGAUUUCCAUAUCCUCUCAAAGAUGUGGCGUAUAUUGACAGCGAUGAGAAGAAACCUCCAAAACAUAAAGAAGAGUCCAAAAGUAGCCGAUGAGAAUAUGUUUGGAGGUGGAAAUGGAACUGAUUUGCCAAUCUAUGUGCAUGAGAUGGACAGAAGACAACAUGGUUGGAAUGGGUUUUCCUUCAUUUAUAAUGUUGUUCGUGCUCCAAUUUCGAUUCUUGCAUGCUUCUCUCAUCCUCAUGUUAAUGGUGCUGAUGGUGUUUGGGUGUCUGGUGAAUUUGCACAGAUUUCUGAGAUGAAUCAUCUUAUGGUAAGCGACAGCAUGCGUUAUGCAAUUUUAAUGUACCGCAUGCUACGAUGAUUCGUGGGCCGCGCUUCAGUGGGUGGCGUCACAUAGCAGUGGAAAUGGACCUGAGCCAUGGUUGAAUGAUCAUGCGGAUUUCCAGCGAGUUAAUAUUGGCGGGGACAGUGCUGGUGGGAAUAUAUCACACACUUUGGCUUUUCGGGCCGG
rnacentral:rRNA from 1 species